CCUACGGGGGGCAGCAGUGGGGAAUAUUGCACAAUGGGGGGAACCCUGAUGCAGCGACGCCGCGUGGGUGAGGAAGUACUUCGGUAUGUAAAGCCCUAUCAGCAGGGAAGAAAAUGACGGUACCUGACUAAGAAGCCCCGGCUAACUACGUGCCAGCAGCCGCGGUAAUACGUGGGGGGCAAGCGUUAUCCGGAUUUACUGGGUGUAAAGGGAGCGUAGACGGUAUGGCAAGUCUGCAGUGAAAGCCCAGGGCUUAACCCUGGGACUGCUUUGGAGACUGUUAGCCUAGAGUGCUGGAGAGGUAA
rnacentral:rRNA from 1 species